rnacentral:rRNA from 1 species
CCUACGGGGAGCAGCAGUGAGGAAUAUUGGUCAAUGGACGCAAGUCUGAACCAGCCAUGCCGCGUGCAGGAAGACGGCUCUAUGAGUUGUAAACUGCUUUUGUACGAGGGUAAACGCAGAUACGCGUAUCUGUCUGAAAGUAUCGUACGAAUAAGGAUCGGCUAACUCCGUGCCAGCAGCCGCGGUAAUACGGAGGAUUCAAGCGUUAUCCGGAUUUAUUGGGUUUAAAGGGUGCGUAGGCGGUCGGAUAAGUUAGAGGUGAAAUCCCGAGGCUCAACUUCGGAAUUGCCUCUGAUACUGUUCGGCUAGAGAGUAGUUGCGGUAGGCGGAAUGUAUGGUGUAGCGGUGAAAUGCUUAGAGAUCAUACAGAACACCGAUUGCGAAGGCAGCUUACUAAGCUACUUCUGACGUUGAGGCACGAAAGCGUGGGGAGCAAACAGGAUUAGAUACCCUUGUAGUC